rnacentral:rRNA from 1 species
UGGGGAAUUUUGGACAAUGGGCGAAAGCCUGAUCCAGCAAUGCCGCGUGUGUGAAGAAGGCCUUCGGGUUGUAAAGCACUUUUGUCCGGAAAGAAAUCCUUGGCUCUAAUACAGUCGGGGGAUGACGGUACCGGAAGAAUAAGCACCGGCUAACUACGUGCCAGCAGCCGCGGUAAUACGUAGGGUGCAAGCGUUAAUCGGAAUUACUGGGCGUAAAGCGUGCGCAGGCGGUUUGCUAAGACCGAUGUGAAAUCCCCGGGCUCAACCUGGGAACUGCAUUGGUGACUGGCAGGCUAGAGUAUGGCAGAGGGGGGUAGAAUUCCACGUGUAGCAGUGAAAUGCGUAGAGAUGUGGAGGAAUACCGAUGGCGAAGGCAGCCCCCUGGGCCAAAUACUGACGCUCAUGCACGAAAAGCGUGGGGAGCAAAACAGGAUUAGAUACCCUGGUAGUCCACGCCCUAAAACGAUGUCAACUAGUUGUUGGGGAUUCAUUUCCUUAGUAACGUAGCUAACGCGUGAAGUUGACCGCCUGGGGAGUACGGUCGCAAGAUUAAAAACUCAAAUGAAUUGACGGGGUCAUAGCUGUUUCCU